UCUAUAUCUCUACAGCAUGUAGUUUUAAGAUUUUUUGAAAAUUAAUUUUUUUUUGCUAGCCUUUAAAAUGGAACAUAUUUAGGCUUAUGUGUAGGCUUUAAAAGAAUAAGAUUCUAAUGGGAAUAUUAAUGUUUAUAUGGAUAUAAAUAAUGAUUGGGUCAUUUUGCAGGAAACACUGUCCAUCCAUCCAUCCCAAUGCCACUACAGCCCAUGGAGGGCUUUAGCUGGCUUCAACACAUCCCUCCAUUCAGAUCUCUCCUUAGCCUUUUAUCUCCGUCACUAUCUGUGGGUCUUCAUACAAUUGAUAUAUCUCAUUUAUCUGCACUAUUCAACACAUUCAGAGAGGAAGCAGCAGCUCAAACUUCAACAUUUUUGAGUCUUUCAAUUUUGCUGUUGUCACGUUCUCCACUGUUGGCUAUGGAGAUGUUUCCUCUGACAUUUGGCUGGGCUGACUCUUAAUGAUUCUAACCAUUUCCCUGGCAUUUGUUUUUAUACCUAGCCAGAAUAGAGAUGUAAUUCUGCUGUGUCCCCGUGAGUUGGAAACCAGUAAGCAAGUCUUCUAUUAGAGGUCUGAUAGAGUCAUGUACAUCAAGGGAUCAGCACUAAAAGAUGUGGACCUGAUGUGGUGUCAAGCUGAUGAAGCUUUUGCUUGCUUCUUUUGGCUGUUCAUUUAACAAGACAAAGCACAUACUGCAACUUCAAAACUACAGUACUUUGUCAACUAUCCAGAGAUUCAGGGGAAUGAAAUCUUAGACUAUUUAUUUAAGAUGUUCCUUCAGAGUUGAAAACAACUACAUUCUAGCUUGAACGUCCCACAAGAAGAUGUGGGGUGGCAGCAGGCAGGGGUCUAACCUAGGAUCAUGGAGACCACCAAACGAUAGUCCAGAGUGUAUAUGAUUGAUUGAGUAGACAAAGAAGGGAUGGAUUACUGGAGCUAAAAGAAGGCAUAAUUUAACAAUAGACUACUUUGGGAUAUGGAAUGAGAGAGGCUAUAGUGUUGAUUAAAUAAAUAUGUAGGUCUCAGCUGGGGCUGCACAGCCACGGGAAAUACUGCAUUCCUAACUUAUCUUGGGACUUAUUAUAAAGGUGCCAUUAUCCAAGGACAUAUGAUUCUCUGGAGGCUUACAUCACUGGAAAAAGUCUUUGGGCCCCUGAAAAUUACAGUACAUGUAAUGCUGCAAAAGGAGGAGGAUGCUGGGCCAGGCACAUACAACUCAAUUUACUUCUAUUGGCUGGAAAUAUUUAAAGCAUGACAGUGGCGUAGGUAAAUUACCAAAUAGUGGAUCUUAUGAUGGAUUGAUCAGCCCUGAUGAACUGACCUGACCAUUGUAAUUGAAACCAUAACUCAUGACCACUCUAUCUGUAUAGGUCCUGGUAUACCCUGGGAUGAUGUUCACCCACAACUUUUAACUUGAAAUCUUAAAGGAAGUUUUGCUAAACUAACAAGCAUGAAUGUCUGGUACAGUAAGAUAGGGUUAAUGGUCAACCUGACAUUCAU